UAGGGAAUCUUGCGCAAUGCGCGAAAGCGUGACGCAGCAACGCCGCGUGGGGGAAGAAGGCCUUCGGGUUGUAAACCCCUUUCAGGAGGGACGAAGGUGCGGCGGCGAACAGCCGUCCGUACUGACGGUACCUCCAGAAGAAGCCCCGGCUAACUACGUGCCAGCAGCCGCGGUAAUACGUAGGGGGCAAGCGUUGUCCGGAAUCAUUGGGCGUAAAGCGCGCGUAGGCGGCCCGGUAAGUCCGCUGUGAAAGUCCAGGGCUCAACCCUGGAAAGCCGGUGGAUACUGUCGGGCUCGAGUCCGGAAGAGGCGAGUGGAAUUCCUGGUGUAGCGGUGGAAUGCGCAGAUAUCAGGAGGAACACCGAUAGCGAAGGCAGCUCGCUGGGACGGUACUGACGCUGAGGCGCGAAAGCGUGGGGAGCAAACAGGAUUAGAUACCCUGGUAGUCCACGCCGUAAACGAUGGGCACUAGGUGUGGGAGGUGUCGACUCCUCCCGUGCCGGCGCUAACG
rnacentral:rRNA from 1 species